rnacentral:rRNA from 1 species
UACGUAGGGUGCGAGCGUUAAUCGGAUUUACUGGGCGUAAAGCGGGUGUAGGCGGCUCGGUAAGUCGGGUGUGAAAUCCCACAGCUCAACUGUGGAAUUGCGCCCGAAACUGCUGAGCUUGGGGCCGGUAGAGGGAGACGGAACUGCCGGUGUAGGGGUGAAAUCCGUAGAUAUCGGCAGGAACGCCGGUGGGGAAGCCGGUCUCCUGGGCCGCGCCCGACGCUGAGACCCGAAAGCUAGGGGAGCAAACCGG